rnacentral:rRNA from 1 species
CAAAGGAAUUGACGGGGCCCGCACAAGCGGUGGAGCAUGUGGUUAAUUCGAAGCAACGCGAAGAACCUUACCAGGUCUUGACAUCCCGAUGCUAUUUCUAGAGAUAGAAAGUUACUUCGGUACAUCGGUGACAGGUGGUGCAUGGUUGUCGUCAGCUCGUGUCGUGAGAUGUUGGGUUAAGUCCCGCAACGAGCGCAACCCCUAUUGUUAGUUGCCAUCAUUCAGUUGGGCACUCUAGCGAGACUGCCGGUAAUAAACCGGAGGAAGGUGGGGAUGACGUCAAAUCAUCAUGCCCCUUAUGACCUGGGCUACACACGUGCUACAAUGGUUGGUACAACGAGUUGCGAGUCGGUGACGGCGAGCUAAUCUCUUAAAGCCAAUCUCAGUUCGGAUUGUAGGCUGCAACUCGCCUACAUGAAGUCGGAAUCGCUAGUAAUCGCGGAUCAGCACGCCCGCGGUCGAAUACGUUCCGGGCCUU